rnacentral:misc_RNA from 1 species
UCCCCCUCAAGUUGGUUUAUGUAUGUUACACAUACCCAACUUGUAAACUUGAGUAUGAAAUAUCUUGCUGUUCAAACCUUUAGUAAACACAUCGGCCACUUGUUCUUUGGAAGUCACGUAAGAGGCACUUAAUGACCCAUUAACUAUUUUCUCCUUUAUAAAGUGCCAAUCAAUCUCUACAUGUUUGAUCCGAUCAUGUUAAACUGGGUUAUGAACUAUACUAAUAGCAGCUUUGUUGCCGCAGAAUAAGGACAAAUUGUUUGUUUCUAAUAAUUGCAUUUCCUUCAUCAAUUUCCGCAACCAUUAUAGCUCAUAUAUAUCCUGUGCCAUGGCUCUCUAUAUUUUGCCUCUACACUAGAUCUUGUUGUUACAAUCUACUUCUUACUUUUCAAGUGACUAAAUUGCCGCCAAUAAAGGUGCAAUAGCCUGAUGUUAAUCUCCUAUCAUCAAAAGAUCCAGUCCAAUCUGCAUCUGU